GUCUCUAUAAUAUUCCAUCUUUUUUUAAAAAGAUAACAAGAUCUACUACCGAUUAAAAUUUCAGUUAAACAGCUAGCUUUCAAAUAUUGAACUCGCCUUGUUAGAAUAACUUGAAUAUUGAACCACGUGCGUAGCUAACGAUUUUAUUAUACAAAUAUAGCGCCGUUUAACGAUACAAAACGAUUAUAUAGAUAGGCAAGGAAUACAGAUAACAAAGGAGAACCAAUCAAUUACAUGUCGAUAUAAAAUCGAACAAAAUGCGAACAAAACGAAGCGGAUAAAAUCGGCGGAUCUAAGCCAUGCAAGGGUUAAUCAUUUUCCUGCAGUUACACGUGUCAUUCCAAGCCGGCUGUGAAAUUAAUAAAGCAAGGGACAUUUGGGAGCGCGAAACGAGCAUUUCGCGUCACGAAAAGUUCUCUCCCACGUACUCGAUUUAAAACUGGUUUAUGGUCGAUGAAACUGGAAUUAUAUUGGAGGACACGUUCAAUUGAGAAACCUGAUUCCUUGUGGAUCAACUAAAAUGUAUCUGCAUGUGGAGCUUGAAUUUCCCUCGAUGGAUACACUUUGUCUUCACAUCGUUCUUUUUUAUCAGAAACAAAUUUAAAGAUGUUCAUUAUAGUAAGAGAGAUCAAAUCAAUGACAAGCAAUAAGAUUUAGAUAAUACAACGCUAAAUAUCGC
rnacentral:misc_RNA from 1 species